CCUAACACAUGCAAGUCGAACGGUAACAGGAAGCAGCUUGCUGCUUUGCUGACGAGUGGCGGACGGGUGAGUAAUGUCUGGGAAACUGCCUGAUGGAGGGGGAUAACUACUGGAAACGGUGGCUAAUACCGCAUAACGUCGCAAGACCAAAGAGGGGGACCUUCGGGCCUCUUGCCAUCAGAUGUGCCCAGAUGGGAUUAGCUUGUUGGUGAGGUAACGGCUCACCAAGGCGACGAUCCCUAGCUGGUCUGAGAGGAUGACCAGCCACACUGGAACUGAGACACGGUCCAGACUCCUACGGGAGGCAGCAGUGGGGAAUAUUGCACAAUGGGCGCAAGCCUGAUGCAGCCAUGCCGCGUGUAUGAAGAAGGCCUUCGGGUUGUAAAGUACUUUCAGCGGGGAGGAAGGUGUUGUGGUUAAUAACCGCAGCAAUUGACGUUACCCGCAGAAGAAGCACCGGCUAACUCCGUGCCAGCAGCCGCGGUAAUACGGAGGGUGCAAGCGUUAAUCGGAAUUACUGGGCGUAAAGCGCACGCAGGCGGUCUGUCAAGUCGGAUGUGAAAUCCCCGGGCUCAACCUGGGAACUGCAUUCGAAACUGGCAGGCUUGAGUCUUGUAGAGGGGGGUAGAAUUCCAGGUGUAGCGGUGAAAUGCGUAGAGAUCUGGAGGAAUACCGGUGGCGAAGGCGGCCCCCUGGACAAAGACUGACGCUCAGGUGCGAAAGCGUGGGGAGCAAACAGGAUUAGAUACCCUGGUAGUCCACGCCGUAAACGAUGUCUACUUGGAGGUUGUGCCCUUGAGGCGUGGCUUCCGGAGCUAACGCGUUAAGUAGACCGCCUGGGGAGUACGGCCGCAAGGUUAAAACUCAAAUGAAUUGACGGGGGCCCGCACAAGCGGUGGAGCAUGUGGUUUAAUUCGAUGCAACGCGAAGAACCUUACCUGGUCUUGACAUCCACAGAACUUUCCAGAGAUGGAUUGGUGCCUUCGGGAACUGUGAGACAGGUGCUGCAUGGCUGUCGUCAGCUCGUGUUGUGAAAUGUUGGGUUAAGUCCCGCAACGAGCGCAACCCUUAUCCUUUGUUGCCAGCGGUCCGGCCGGGAACUCAAAGGAGACUGCCAGUGAUAAACUGGAGGAAGGUGGGGAUGACGUCAAGUCAUCAUGGCCCUUACGACCAGGGCUACACACGUGCUACAAUGGCGCAUACAAAGAGAAGCGACCUCGCGAGAGCAAGCGGACCUCAUAAAGUGCGUCGUAGUCCGGAUUGGAGUCUGCAACUCGACUCCAUGAAGUCGGAAUCGCUAGUAAUCGUGGAUCAGAAUGCCACGGUGAAUACGUUCCCGGGCCUUGUACACACCGCCCGUCACACCAUGGGAGUGGGUUGCAAAAGAAGUAGGUAGCUUAACCUUCGGGAGGGCGCUUACCACUUUGUGAUUCAUGACUGGGGUGAAGUCGUAACAAGGUAACCGUAGGGGAACCUGCGGUUGGA
rnacentral:rRNA from 1 species